rnacentral:rRNA from 1 species
AUGUCGCAGCUCUCGUUGCCAAGGACCCCAAGUUCCUCUGCGCCGGCGUCGAGAGAACCCUGGCCCCCGUCAUCGUCGGGCUCACCGGCCUCGGCUUAUCGCGUUCCGAUAUCGCGUUCCGAUAUCGCACGCCUCGCCUCGCUCUCCCGUUACAGCUUCCGCUAUAGAUCCAUCGUCUCCAAGCUGCAGUACUACAUGCCUCUUUUUGGGUCCUUUGAGAAUCUCCUCCGAGCCCUCAAGAGGAACUUCUACCUUCACUCGGCUGACCUCGAUGAUGUGGUCAAGCCCAACGUCGCGUUGCUGCGGGAGUGCGGGCUAGGUGCCUGUGAUAUUGCCAAGCUAUGCAUCAGUCAACCAUGGCUUCUCGCCGCCAACCCCGAGCGUGUCCAGGCGAUGGUGGAAUGCGCUGAAAACAUAGGUGUGCCCCGUGCCUUUAGGAUGUUCAGGCAUGCGCUGCACGCUGUUGCAUUUCUCAGCGAGGACAAGAUCGCAGCCAGGGUGAAGUACUUGAAGAACACCUUCAGGUGGACGGAUGCUGAGGUAGGCAUGGCUGUUUCUAAGUAUCCAACGGUGCUGAAUAGGACUAAGGAGUUUCUGCAGAGAAGGUCAGAGUUCCUGAUCUCUGAUUUGGGGUUGGAACCGGCAUACAUUGCUCAUCACCCGCUAAUGCUCGCGUACAGCCUGGAGGGGAGGCUAAGGCCCCGAUACUACGUUGUAACUUUUCUUAAGGAAAAUGGAUUGCUAGAUCAUGGUCGAGAUUACUAUUAUGCAGUUAAGAUGACUGAGAAGGUAUUCAUGGAGAAGUUCAUAUGCCCUCACAAGGACGCUGCACCAUACCUUGCUGAAGAUUAUGUAGCGGCUUGCAGAGGGAAAUUGCCGGCUAGAUUCAGAUUUACAUGA